GGGGACGUGGUCUAGCGGCACACAUGAUCCCGGCUUCGGAAGCCGGUGCACGGCGGUUCGAAUCCGCCCGUUCCCACCA
rnacentral:tRNA from 1 species